rnacentral:rRNA from 1 species
CAGCCGCCGCGGUAAUACGGAGGGAGCUAGCGUUGUUCGGAAUUACUGGGCGUAAAGCGCACGUAGGCGGCUUUGUAAGUUAGAGGUGAAAGCCUGGGGCUCAACUCCAGAAUUGCCUUUAAGACUGCAUCGCUUGAAUCAUGGAGAGGCGGGUGGAAUUCCGAGUGUAGAGGUGAAAUUCGUAGAUAUUCGGAAGAACACCAGUGGCGAAGGCGGCUCACUGGCUCAUUCUAGACGCUUAGGUGCGAAAGCGUGGGGAGCAAACAGGAUUAGAUACCCCUGUAGUCCCUGUCUCUUAUAA